UAUACGAAAGUAAACCCGUGGUAUUGUCAAUAAAAAGCGUCGGUUAUGUUAUUAGAAACCUAGAAAGUUUAUAAUAAUGGCAUGGGUUUUGAUUAUUAUUGAUGAGAUUACUAUUUUUUUUCAGUCUUUAGGAAGGUGGUUUGUUAUUUUGGAGUUAUUGUUAUUUUGAAAUUAAAAUCUAAAUGCAAAGUUAUCAUGAGGAUACAGGUUAUGUUAAUUCCAAAUUCAUAGAUUAAGCCUCCAUUUCAUAUUGUCAUUCUUGGAA
rnacentral:lncRNA from 1 species